GUUUUAGGGUUAAGCUGUUGCAGCUGUGGGUUGUGAUGGUUGAUGUUUUUUUUAAGAAUCGUUGCUGCUGGGGUAACUGAGAUUGCUACUGCUAGUCCUAAUGUUGCUACUGUUGCUGUUGAUUUGUCCCAAUUCAAGUUCAGUGUCACUGCCCUAGAGUUGUUUCUGUAUUUAAUUCCAUCAAAUUCGAUGUUGCUGCGAGUGUAAUCGGAGUUGGUAAUGCCGCCAUCAUAUCUCAACUUGGCCAACAUCAUCCUCGUUGUUCUGAUUCCAAUUUCCCCAAUUUUGAAACGGAACUGUUGAAGCUAUGACCGGUUUUGUAGUAGCUUGUUGCUACCACCAAUGCUGAUUUAUGGUAGAAUGAUGAGGCUGCGAUGUUGAGGGUGCAGUCCAGCCUACUUUCUCGCCAAAAUUCUGCCUUCGGUUUCUUUUAAUUGUGACAUUGAGGUUGAAAACUCGAUACUCUAUUGACUCUACGACGCAAGUGUGACCGGACACUAUAUAAAUUCUCGGGAAUGUUAUCCCCAUUGAGCAAUAUUGAUUAUUUGAGAAAAAGUUAUGCAUAGACUCUUGGGGAUGCACGUUGGGGGACAGUCUAAGGACAAUUCAGACUUGUCACGUUGGCUGGAUAAUCGACAGAUGAGCCUCAUCAGCCAUAGGACAGGCAUGCAUUAUAUGCAUUUGUAUGUUUUGCUUGGGUUUAAACUUAUUUUGGUUUGCCUAAUUGCUAAACUGUUCGUAACUGCUACUUGAACUAUUUGCUGUAACUGCUACCUACUUGUGCUUUCCUUGUUUGUCUUGCCUGUGUUUGUCCUGGCGUGCUACUUUUGAGAAUGAAUUUUGGUGCUGAAUUAAUGAUUGUGUUGUUUGAUUGUGUAAUUAGUUUCUGAAUGAGAUUUUCUUAUAAAAAAGGAAAAGGUUUUGGAUUUCUGAAAAAAAUUAAACGUUGUUUCUUUGAAAAGGUAUUGAACGAUUACCUAUUGGUUUUUAAGAGAUUCAUAAGGCAAUGAUAAUCACUGAGCUUGAAAACAGUUUUCUUAUAAAAUAUCUUCUUAUGACAAUUCUGAAAUUCCGUGGUGAGACUGUGUGGUUAAGUUCUCACCCCCUACAGCUUUACCUUCAGGAAUCAGAGGAAGGAGUCUAGUGAAGAGUUAUACUACGUUUUUGGUUUAUAUGGUAUUGCAUUGAUUUGAUAAUUUUUCUUCCAUCGUCUUUGUUAUUACAAUCUUGUAAGAGGGACAUGAGUUGUUUGUUAUAUAUAUAUA